UACGGAGGGUGCAAGCGUUGCUCGGAAUUAUUGGGCGUAAAGGGCAAGUAGGUGGUCUCAUUUGUCAGGGGUGAAAGCCUUGGGCUUAACUCAAGAAGUGCCCCUGAAACGGUGAGACUCGAGUCCUGGAGAGGCGAGUGGAAUACCCGGUGUAGCGGUGAAAUGCGUAGAGAUCGGGUGGAACACCAGAGGCGAAGGCGGCUCGCUGGACAGGCACUGACACUCAACUGCGAAAGCGUGGGGAGCAAACAGG
rnacentral:rRNA from 1 species